rnacentral:rRNA from 1 species
AAUAGAUACCCUGGUAGUCCAUGCCGUAAACGAUGUCUACUAGCCGUUGGGGCCCUUGAGGCUUUAGUGGCGCAGCUAACGCGAUAAGUAGACCGCCUGGGGAGUACGGUCGCAAGACUAAAACUCAAAUGAAUUGACGGGGGCCCGCACAAGCGGUGGAGCAUGUGGUUUAAUUCGAUGCAACGCGAAGAACCUUACCUGGCCUUGACAUACAGAGAACUUUCCAGAGAUGGAUUGGUGCCUUCGGGAACUCUGAUACAGGUGCUGCAUGGCUGUCGUCAGCUCGUGUCGUGAGAUGUUGGGUUAAGUCCCGCAACGAGCGCAACCCUUUUCCUUAUUUGCCAGCACUUCGGGUGGGAACUUUAAGGAUACUGCCAGUGACAAACUGGAGGAAGGCGGGGACGACGUCAAGUCAUCAUGGCCCUUACGGCCAGGGCUACGACACGUGCUACAAUGGUCGGUACAAAGGGUUGCUACUGCGCGAGCAGAUGCUAAUCUCAAAAAGCCGAUCGUAGUCCGGAUCGC